UUCAUCCUAAUCGAUGAUUGAUAUUCUCUCUUUGGUAUUCUGCCCAGUAACUGGUAGAUAUAAUUCCUAUUUUUCCCCGACAGUCUAUCCUUGAUAUGUUUACCCUAGCCGGUAACGGAUAUUCUUCCUCUUUUCCCAGGUGGUUUAUCCUUGAUAUGCUCAUCCUUACUGAUGACAUAUAUUCUUCCUUCAAGUUUAUCCUUGAUAUGUUCACCUUAACCAAUGAC
rnacentral:lncRNA from 1 species